rnacentral:rRNA from 1 species
GAUGAACGCUAGCGAUAGGCUUAACACAUGCAAGUCGAGGGGCAGCAUGGUCUUAGCUUGCUAAGACUGAUGGCGACCGGCGCACGGGUGCGUAACGCGUAUGCAACUUGCCUCACAGAGGGGGAUAACCCGUCGAAAGACGGACUAAUACCGCGUACACUUGGGAUAGGGCAUCCUGACCCAAGGAAAUGAAAUUCGCUGUGAGAUAGGCAUGCGUCCCAUUAGCUAGUUGGUGAGGUAACGGCUCACCAAGGCGACGAUGGGUAGGGGAACUGAGAGGUUGAACCCCCACACUGGUACUGAGACACGGACCAGACUUCUACGGGAGGCAGCAGUGAGGAAUAUUGGUCAAUGGGCGAGAGUCUGAACCAGCCAAGUCGCGUGAAGGAUGACUGUCUUAUGGAUUGUAAACUUCUUUUAUACGGGAAUAACAAGAGCCACGUGUGGCUCCCUGCAUGUACCGUAUGAAUAAGCAUCGGCUAACUCCGUG